rnacentral:rRNA from 1 species
UACGUAGGGUGCGAGCGUUGUCCGGAAUUAUUGGGCGUAAAGAGCUCGUAGGCGGUUUGUCACGUCUGCUGUGAAAUCCCGAGGCUCAACCUCGGGCCUGCAGUGGGUACGGGCAGACUAGAGUGCGGUAGGGGAGACUGGAAUUCCUGGUGUAGCGGUGAAAUGCGCAGAUAUCAGGAGGAACACCGGUGGCGAAGGCGGGUCUCUGGGCCGUAAACUGACGCUGGAGGAGCGAAAGCCGUGGGGAGCGAACAGG